GCCGGGAUAGCUCAGUUGGGAGAGCAGCAGACUGAAGUUGCCCUUAAUUAUUUGAAGUGGCAUGGCCUAGGAAAUAUGCCAUUCCAAGUAAUCAAGUGGUGCAUUCUGAAGGUCGGGCGUUCGAUCCGCCCUCCUGGCA